UGGGGAAUCUUGCGCAAUGGGGGAAACCCUGACGCAGCGACGCCGCGUGGGGGAUGAAGGCCUUCGGGUUGUAAACCGCUUUCAGCAGGGACGAGGCCUUAUGGUGACGGUACCUGCAGAAGAAGCUCCGGCUAAAUACGUGCCAGCAGCCGCGGUAAUACGUAUGGAGCAAGCGUUAUCCGGAUUCAUUGGGCGUAAAGCGCUCGUAGGCGGUCUGUUAGGUCGGCAAGUUAAAUCCGGGGGCUCAACCCCCGUCCGCUUCCGAUACCGGCAGACUUGAGUUUGGUAGGGGAAGGUGGAAUUCCUAGUGUGGCGGUGGAAUGCGCAGAUAUUAGGAAGAACACCGGUGGCGAAGGCGGCCUUCUGGGCCAUAACUGACGCUGAGGAGCGAAAGCUAGGGGAGCGAACAGG
rnacentral:rRNA from 1 species